GAGCGCGAAUGGAGCAAUCCUAGUAGAGCGGCGCACGGGUGCGUAACACGUGGGUAAUCUGCCUGGAAGAUUGGGAUAACCAGUCGAAAGAUUGGCUAAUACCAGAUAAGCCCACGGGGACUUCGGUCCCUGAGGGAAAAGGUGGCCUCUGUAUACAAGCUAUCACUUCCAGAUGAGCCCGCGGCCCAUCAGCUAGUUGGCGGGGUAACGGCCCACCAAGGCAACGACGGGUAGCUGGUCUGAGAGGACGAUCAGCCACACUGGAACUGAGACACGGUCCAGACUCCUACGGGAGGCAGCAGUGGGGAAUUUUGCGCAAUGGGCGAAAGCCUGACGCAGCAACGCCGCGUGUGUGAUGAAGGUCUUCAGAUUGUAAAGCACUUUCGACCGGGACGAAAACCCUGAAGCUAACAUCUUCAGGCUUGACGGUACCGGGAGAAGAAGCACCGGCUAACUCUGUGCCAGCAGCCGCGGUAAUACAGAGGGUGCAAGCGUUGUUCGGAAUUAUUGGGCGUAAAGCGCGUGUAGGCGGCUUUGCAAGUCGGGUGUGAAAGCCCUCAGCUCAACUGAGGAAGUGCGCCCGAAACUGCAGAGCUUGAGUGCCGGAGAGGGUGGCGGAAUUCCCCAAGUAGAGGUGAAAUUCGUAGAUAUGGGGGAGGAACACCGGUGGCGAAG
rnacentral:rRNA from 1 species